GACGAACGCUGGCGGCGUGCUUAACACAUGCAAGUCGAACGGAAAGGCCCUGCUUUUGUGGGGUGCUCGAGUGGCGAACGGGUGAGUAACACGUGAGUAACCUGCCCUUGACUUUGGGAUAACUUCAGGAAACUGGGGCUAAUACCGGAUAGGAGCUCCUGCUGCAUGGUGGGGGUUGGAAAGUUUCGGCGGUUGGGGAUGGACUCGCGGCUUAUCAGCUUGUUGGUGGGGUAGUGGCUUACCAAGGCUUUGACGGGUAGCCGGCCUGAGAGGGUGACCGGCCACAUUGGGACUGAGAUACGGACCAGACUCCUACGGGAGGCAGGAGUGGGGAAUAUUGCACAAUGGGCGGAAGCCUGAGGCAGCAACGCCGCGUGCGGGAUGACGGCCUUCGGGUGGUAAACCGCUUUCGCCUGUGACGAAGCGUGAGUGACGGUAAUGGGUAAAGAAGCACCGGCUAACUACGU
rnacentral:rRNA from 1 species